AUGGCUACAACUACAGUUGAUAUUUUCAUUCCAUGUCUCACCACUGCUAUCUCCACACCACACGUUCAUUCAAAAACAAACAAAAAGAUGAUAUGGAAAUUGAUGCAUUCAAAAUUAUAUGUACUAUAUUGGGUUUCAGUCUUAUUCUGCAGAGGCAACCCAGUGUCCUACAAAACCCAUUUAUAAAUUACUAAUUUGCUUCACCAAGUAAGUUUUAGAUGAAGUGUAAUGGCUGCCGUGAUUACGCCUGCAGAGCAGGUACAUCUGCAAUGGCAGCUCGCCUGCUCACACAGGAUCUGAUAUUCCAGAUAAACAGUAAAAUGUGUUUGUGAACAGAUUUGAGGAGAGAAAUAGUCAACAACAGAAUCUGGAUCCAUAUCUGAUCAGCACUGUUUGACAGUUUGAUCUGAGUUUGGUGCGUUGAGCUGGACGGACUCGCUGAGAAUGAGCUGUCAAUCACAAGGUAGCCCCGCCCUAAAGCAUACCCUGCUUUAUGGUCUAUUUUACUCUAAAUGGGACCAUCAGUGACUAAAUGAACAUCAUGCUGUAUGGAAGAAGACUGAAACUAGAGGCUGAGACCAGAAACUCAUCAGGAAACUGUUUACUGAGCUCAUAAAUCAACUGAGUAGUCCACUCAUUUCUCCAUAAGACUGAAUGCUAUCUGUGUGUUAUUGUAGCCAGUGGAGCUGCUUUCUAUGUAACAGCCAGCAGAUUUAAGACACUUUACAGACCGGAAGCUCUCUCGUUAUAUAUACUGUCAAUGGUUUGAACCAAUUAACAACCUGUGGCUUCAAAAACUGCAGUUCCUAUAAUGUCCACUAGAGGCUAGCUCCAGCAGUCUCCAUAAGGCCCCGUAUCAAAAUGUCCAACUUUACAGCAGAGUAAACAUGUUUACAGCCUUUUGGUCUCUGUAGCUAAUUUCACAUUUAAUGACUGUACUGAUGGUGAAUUUUUAUACAACUAACCCCUUUAAAUUAUAUUAAGGCCUAAAGUUAUAUAUAAUUAAGGGCGUGGCCACUUUGACUGACAGGUGGGUGCCGUCACAGGUUCCUGUUUUCAGUAGCCAGGCUUCAAUCGGCUCCACCUCUUUACCUGUUUUUGGAUUAACUAGGAGUCACUGGAGUCUGGACAGCUCUUCAGAAAGCUGUGGGUGACGUCACAGAGACUAUUCAAGUGUUUGGUCUCAGAGUCAGAAUCUUAAUAUUUGCAAAUGAACAUAAUCCAGGCAAAUAGUAAGUUUCCUCCAAACCGAAAAUAAUAGUAUAUAAACAUAUUUUAUAGAAGAAAGGAUUGCUGUAAAAUCUUAAACCAGCACCGUUUAAAAUCCCUGAGCACAGACUCAUUGGUGGUGUUCAUGUUAACCUGUUUGCAUAAAAUACAACAGACAGUGUAAACAGCAGC
rnacentral:lncRNA from 15 species